ACAGCCAGAGGAGAGCUGCCUGUGAACCAAGAAGCAGGCCCUCACCAGACACUGAGUCUGCCAGCACCUGGAUCUUGGACUUCCAGCCUCCAGAAAUGCUAGGAAGACCCAGUUGAGGCAGCGGACACUAGAGCAGCCUGGAAGGGGGUACCUGCCUACGAAGCCCCUAGGAGCAUGAGGUGUUUCCUCCCACAGCUUCCUGUCCUGCCCAGGGCUCAGAGGACAAGACUGGCAGAAGGACAACCAGCAAUGCUGAGGGACUGUGGCUCAAGGCACUGAUGUCAUUGUCUUGGGUUGCAGUUCUCUUUUUUUGAAGCAAUCUAACUCUGUCACCUAGGCUGGAGUGCAGUGGAGCAAUUGCGGCUCACUGCAGCCUCAACUUCCUGGGCUCAAGCAAUCCUCCCACCUCAGCCUCAUGAGUAGCUUGGACUACAGUGCCCGAGGGGCAAAACUGCAGCAGAGUGGCUCCUGUAUCCUCAGCACUCAACAUGGACCCUGUUGUUGGUGUUCAAGAAACAUUUGAGGAGCUGCACUUACUUGGAAUGAGAAAAAGUUACACCCAUGACCUCCAGGUAAAGCAGACAGCAAAUGGCGUAAGUGAAGGGCCCUGCAGCAGCCACAGACACAGGCCUGGGGAAAUAGAGGAUCCCAGAUGGAAGAGCUGCCACUUACUGGGCACCGCCAUGUGCCAAACCCAACACCGUGUGCACUCCGUAGACUCUCAUUGAAUCCUUAAAUCCUUCCGUGGUAUGGAUUAUUAUCUCCAUUUUACUAAUGAGGCCAUUAAAGCUCAGAAGAUUAAGUAACGUGACCAGUAUAAAGUACAAGAAAAUGACA